rnacentral:rRNA from 1 species
UAGGGAAUCUUCCGCAAUGGACGCAAGUCUGACGGAGCAACGCCGCGUGAGUGAAGAAGGAUUUCGGUUCGUAAAACUCUGUUGUUAGAGAAGAACAGCGCAUAGAGUAACUGUUAUGCGUGUGACGGUAUCUAACCAGAAAGCCACGGCUAACUACGUGCCAGCAGCCGCGGUAAUACGUAGGUGGCAAGCGUUGUCCGGAUUUAUUGGGCGUAAAGCGAGCGCAGGCGGUUUUUUAAGUCUGAUGUGAAAGCCCACGGCUCAACCGUGGAGGGUCAUUGGAAACUGGAAAACUUGAGUGCAGAAGAGGAAAGUGGAAUUCCAUGUGUAGCGGUGAAAUGCGCAGAGAUAUGGAGGAACACCAGUGGCGAAGGCGACUUUCUGGUCUGUAACUGACGCUGAUGUGCGAAAGCGUGGGGAUCAAACAGG